rnacentral:lncRNA from 1 species
UUACUUGAACAGGUAUCUUCGACUGCUCUCCUCUCAUCCUCUGCGCGACUUGAACAGGUAUUUUUCUUCUCUUUUCCUCUUUCUUCUCCUCGUCGAUCGUAUCUUCUUCUCUUCUCUUUCUUCUCCUCUUCGAGAUCGACUUCGCCUCUCCUCUUCUCCUCUUUUAUCUCCUCUGCGCGAUUGUCUUUGCGACUUUGAGUCGCGUCUCUUCUUUCUUCUCCUCUUCCCGAUCGACUGUUUUCUUCUCCUGUUAUGUGAUCGACUGUUUUCUUUUUCUUUAUCUUAUUCGGUGUUCUGUGAUAGACUGUUUUCUUUUUCUAUAUCUUAUUCGGUUUUCUUUUUCUUUAAUUUCUAUUAAACUUUUUUAAUUUUUGUUAAGGUUUUUUAAUUUCUGUUAAAAAAAUUUAAUUUCUGUUAAACAAAUUUAAUUUCUGUUAUAGUUUUAAUUUAAUUUCUGUUAAACAAAUUUAAUUUCUGUUAUAGUUUUAAUUUAAUUUCUGUUAAACAAAUUUAAUUUAAUUUCUGUUAAACAAAUUUAAUUUCUGUUAAAAAAAUUUAAUUUCUGUUAAGGUUUUUU